AUCCAGCUGACGAGUCCUUAAUAGGACUAAUCGCGAGUCCUGGAU
rfam:Schistosoma rodhaini strain Burundi genome assembly, scaffold: SROB_scaffold0012799